CAUUUUGUGAACAUUAAAUUAUGUUUAAAAGAUGUUUGUUGAUAAAAAUAAAAUGUUCUGGAAAAAAUAAACAAUAAUAAAGCACAAGACAGAAUAUACCAUAUGAUCUCAUCUAUAUAUAUGCAUAGAAAUUGGUUAACUCUGGAUAGUAAUAUCUUCUACCCUUUCAGCUAACUCUGGGUCACAGCAAUGUACAAAUGCUUACAGAUACAAACACAGGUUGUUACCAAAAGGUUGUGGCAGAAAUGAUGCCUCAUGACUUCCAGGGGAGGUGAGAGAACUCAUGCAGCUUCCCCUGGUUCUCCUGGAACAUUUGCUUCCCUGACACUCCUUCUGGGGACACAGCUACUGUGUUAUGAGGAACCCAUGUGGAGAGGAGACAUGGAGGUGUCCCAGCUCACUGCAACCCACUCCUCCUGGGUUCAAGUGAUUCUCCUGCAUCAGUCUCCCGAGAGAUUGGUUUUCUCCAUGUUGGUCAGGUUGGUCUUGAACUCCUCACCUCAGGUGAUCUGCCCACCUCAGCCUCCCAAAAUGCUGGGAUUACAGGCGUGAGCCACGACGCCCAGCCAUUUUCAGUGGUUUUUAUGCAACAAUAGGUAACUGGAGCAAUGCCAAUAAUGUGCUUAGAACUGUGCUGCCAGAAAAUUGAGAGGCCCCCACAUUUGGGAGCCUAGAUUUCAUAUAUGUGUGAUAUAGAUAGUCUGUCAACACACACUCUCUAACUAAGUAGCAGCUCUUUCUUCUCUGAGCCCUUGAGAUGCAGUGUCUCUGCAAAAGUGGGAGAAAGUCACAGUCCAUGAUCUGCAACUGCAGCACUGAUUCCAUACAUUUUAGUAUUUU
rnacentral:lncRNA from 1 species